UACGUAGGGUGCGAGCGUUGUCCGGAAUUAUUGGGCGUAAAGAGCUCGUAGGCGGUCUGUCGCGUCGGCUGUGAAAACUCGGGGCUCAACCCCGAGCCUGCAGUCGAUACGGGCAGACUAGAGUGCGGUAGGGGGAGACUGGAAUUCCUGGUGUAGCGGUGAAAUGCGCAGAUAUCAGGAGGAACACCGGUGGCGAAGGCGGGUCUCUGGGCCGUAACUGACGCUGAGGAGCGAAAGCGUGGGGAGCAAACAGG
rnacentral:rRNA from 1 species